UGUUCUAAACCCUAGCCUCUCCAUCCUUCUUCUUUCGCCGGCGCUUCUCAUCGUGCCCUUGCCCUGAAACCUUCCUUCCCCUUUGUUGUUCUACUUCAUCAUCUUUCUUUUAUUCUCGGUGAACUAUGACAUCUCUUCAAAUCACUGACCUUUAUCUUCAAGUAACAACCAUUAUCUAAUCGAUUCACACAAAAACCCUAACCUCUUCAUUUAAAUGCAACUCUUUACCCUUCUAAUCGGCGGCUAUGUACAAUCUGUUCCGAAUCAAACUCCAAUUUCUUCAUGUCAAGGAAAAUCAUUUUUUUUUUCUCCGGAUAGUAUGACUUCGCUUCCAUGGGAUGAUCGGAAAUCGAAAUCGGUGGCUUGGAUGAAAAGAGCGAAGGGAAUUUGGCGAUUUCGAAGAACAGUUCACGGUAUCUCUUACAUCAACGCUGAAAGAUGCGAAGAUAAUACUGGGUUCUUCUUCAAUGGCUCGUAGAAAAAUCUUACAGGAGAUGGGCUUUGAUUUCACAGUUAUGGUCAGUCAUGAUGAGAUAUACACUAACUAAUUGUUAUACAGUUUGAUGACUAUUUGGGCUCAAAUGCCUAUGGGUUUUGUUUGGUUUCUAAAAAUGAACACCAUUUGGUUGUAGAGUUUAAAUUUUAUGGAUUCUUACAGUAAUGAGAAUUGAGUUUUGAUUUCAACAGUAGUUAAGUUUGUUAAUAUAUUCAGUUAGUACAUAACCCCCUUGAUGUACAAUAUCUCUUUUUUUUAAAGAAAGCAAUUUUUAACCAACCUGAUCCGACCCGAAACCCAUUCUGACCCGGACCCGUUUCAACCCGAACCUGUUCCGACCCGAACCCAUUCUUGCUUAGUUUUGCUGACCUGGCUGCUAGCAGCCCCACCCCGUAUACGAGAUCCGAUAUCACACCAUCGGUAAGAAUUCUCGGUUUAAAAGCAUUCGUCAGUUUAAAAUAUGUAUUAUUUACCAGAGGUUGUUAUUUACAGGAUACGUGAGGUAUUAUAUUGGAAGAAGUAGACACCCUUGUGUGGAAGCUCAAGAUUGGGUGAAUUUUAUACCAAACGACUGCAAACUUUAGGUGAGGGGAAAGAGUUGGUUUCAAAUUAUCACCGGGCCUAACAUGGGAGGAAAAUCCACAUUUAUACGCCAGGUUGAAGAAGAUAGAAUAUGGAGGUGGCAAGAUGGUCGGGUUGAAAACAAAAUAUCCAGGUUGGUUGAAGAAAUCUUUAACGAUUUGUGAUUUUUUCUCAUUCAUGUAUUUCAAUUAUUUAGUGUACUCUAAUAUUUGCAUUAGUAGUUUAACAUUUAUAUAAUUAAAAUAUUUGUGUCAAAUUUUAGACAAGUGUUUUGUUUUAAGUUGUUGUUUAUGUGUGUAAAUGCCUUUAAUAUGGGGACUAUUUCCUGUUAAUGUUAUAUCACAAUAAUAAGAAAAUGUUGUUUGUUUUUUGAACUAGGGCUGAUGUUUGAAUGUUUGGAACUACUUACUGCAUUUAAAAUGAAUUUGUACAUAUUUUUGAAUGUUUUGGAACUACUUACUGCAUUGAAUUUAAUAGCAAGUACUGGUGUACUGGAAAUAGUAUAAUAGUGAUGUGAAGUUUACAACAAGAAAAAGUUUAAGAAACCGAAUUAAAAAGUGUGAUGAAGAUAAGGGAAAAAGAAUACUUUAGAGGUUAAAAGUGUUUUUUAUAUACUUUUAUUUAUUGUAAAUUAAAUUUUUCUACCCGAAAAGUUUGAUGUGGAAAGUUUUUGUUAUGUUUUUACUUAGGUCAUGUGUGGCUUCAUGUACAAUUACUUGGUUUAGGUAGCAUUGGGUCAGGUUUGGUAAUCGGGUUUCGGUUAAAAAGGUAAAAACAUAAGUGCCUUUAUUUCUUUGGGAUUAUGGUAAAAAAAGUGGUUUGGCUCAACUCAUUUAUUCAUAAGUGCUUUGGCUUAACCGGUACCGUAUCGCAUAGCAUAGAGGUGCACAUGUAAAGAAAAGGAGGGAGG